GACGUAGGAGGCGAGCGUUGUCCGGAUUCAUUGGGCGUAAAGAGCACGCAGGCGGUUUGGCAAGUCGGAUGUGAAAACCCGGAGCUCAACUCCGGGCGUGCAUCCGAUACUGCCCGACUAGAGGUAGGUAGGGGAGAUCGGAAUUCCUGGUGUAGCGGUGAAAUGCGCAGAUAUCAGGAGGAACACCGGUGGCGAAGGCGGAUCUCUGGGCUGACACUGACGCUCAUGCACGAAAGCGUGGGGAGCAAACAGG
rnacentral:rRNA from 1 species